rnacentral:rRNA from 1 species
GACGAACGCUGGCGGCGUGCUUAACACAUGCAAGUCGAACGGUGAAGCGCCUUCCUUUUUGGUGGGUGUGGAUGAGUGGCGAACGGGUGAGUAACACGUGAGUAACCUGCCCCCUUCUUCUGGAUAACCGCAUGAAAGUGUGGCUAAUACGGGAUAUUCUGGGUCUGUCGCAUGAUGGGUCUGGGAAAGAUAUUGUUUCGGUGGGGGAUGGGCUCGCGGCCUAUCAGCUUGUUGGUGGGGUGAUGGCCUACCAAGGCGGUGACGGGUAGCCGGCCUGAGAGGGUGGACGGUCACACUGGGACUGAGACACGGCCCAGACUCCUACGGGGGGCAGCAGUGGGGAAUAGUGCACAAUGGGCGAAAGCCUGAUGCAGCGACGCCGCGUGAGGGAUGGAGGCCUUCGGGUUGUGAACCUCUUUCGCCAGUGAAGCAGGCCUGCCUCGUUUGUGGGUGGGUUGACGGUAGCUGGAUAAGAAGCGCCGGCUAACUACGUG